GCGCAGCAGGCGAGAAUUUUUCUCAAUGGGGGCAACCCUGAAGGAGCGACGCCGCGUGGAGGAUGAAGGUCUUCGGGUUGUAAACUCCUGUCAUUUGAGAACAAGGCACGCGUGUUAACUGCACGAGUGUUGAUAGUAUCAGAAGAGGAAGGGACGGCUAACUCUGUGCCAGCAGCCGCGGUAAUACAGAGGUCCCAAGCGUUGUUCGGAUUCAUUGGGCGUAAAGGGUGUGUAGGUGGCGCCGUAAGUCGGGUGUGAAAUCUCGGGGCUUAACUCCGAAACUGCAUUCGAUACUGCGGUGCUUGAGGACUGGAGAGGAGACUGGAAUUCAUGGUGUAGCAGUGAAAUGCGUAGAGAUCAUGAGGAAGACCAGUGGCGAAGGCGGGUCUCUGGACAGUUCCUGACACUGAGACACGAAGGCCAGGGGAGCAAACGGGAUUAGAUACCCGUGUAGU
rnacentral:rRNA from 1 species